GGUCAGUAAUUACUGGAUUGGGUUGGGUCUAUACAAGAAACACAAGUUUAUUUCAUUCAGCAAAUGACUAUUGGUCCCCCCUCCCCCCCCUAAAAAAAACCCUCAGCAGUUCAAAUCCCGAGAUACACGACUGCUACUAAAAGGGCGAUUGUGUGGGGUAUCGUUCAAAGGUGGGUGCCUUGGUCUGUACCCUCAAGGAGUAUGAUAAAAAGAAAACAGUAGACCAGGCACAGUGCCCUGAAUCUUAGCAGGAAAAAGGAGAGUUCCAGGCUGGUGAUGUGCUCAGGUUCUUUUAUAGAGCUGGCAUUUAUUUGAGUUGGCCCUUGAAGGUUGGAAAACGUUGUGAACAGGUGCGAGAGGCGGGGGCAGACAGUGCAGCAAGACUCCCAGCCAAGAGCAGUGGGAAUCGUGGAGCCGGAAUUAAUUCACAGUGCUGUCUUCCCCUUACUGCCUCUAGUUUUCCUAAGGAACGGCAUGAAACUCUCUAAAGACUUAAUAUGUUCGUGUGUGAGGUGAGUCCUAGGACAGCAGCCUGUGUCCUAGGGUAGGUAGUGUGCCUCUAAAACAGUGGCAGUCAGGUGGAUUAAUGGUCAUUACCUAAGAGCUCUCAAGUAAAAAUAUGGAACAGCUCACUGAGAUUGGCUUGGC
rnacentral:lncRNA from 1 species